GGGGAAAAUUAAUAAUUUAAAUUUAAUAAAAAAAAUUUUAAUAUUAAAAAGAAAAAUGGGGGUUUAAGUAUUUUUAAUAGAAAAAAUUAAUAAUUUUAUAGUUAAAUAUUACUGUAAAGGAAUUUAUAAAUAAAUGAAAUAUAAUUAAUGAAAAAGUAAAUUUAAAUUAUUGUAUCUUGUGUAUCAGAGUUUAUUAAAUAAUAAUAAUUUAUUUAAAUAAAUCUCGAAUUUAAAAGAGUUAAUUAGUUAAAAAAGUUAAUGUUGUAUAAUUAUUUUAAAUAACUAAUUGGAAAUGAAAUGUUAAUCGUUUUUAAAUAUAUCUAGUUUUUUCAGAAAAAAAUUUAAUUUUAAAUUUAAAUAAUWUUWUAAUUAUUUAAUUAAAUUAAUUUUAAAAAUUUAAAUUUUAAUAUUUUAAGGGAUAAGCUUUAAAUUAAAAAUUUAUAAUUAAUAAAUAAUUAAAAUUAAAAUUUUUAAAAUUUAUAUUGUUUAAAAAUUAUAGUUUAUUAUAAAAAAUUUUAUUAAAAAAUAAAAUUUAAAAUAAAAAAAUUUAAAUUUUUAWAAAAAAAUAAUUUAUAAUUUAAUAAAAUUAGAAAUAAUGAUAAAAUUAGUAUAAUAUAAUAAAUUAAAAAAAAAAUUAUAAAGAAAUAAGUUAAAGGAAUUCGGCAAAUUUUUAUAUUCACUUGUUUAUCAAAAACAUGUCUUUUUGAUAAUAAUUUAAAGUCUAAUCUGCCCACUGAUAAUAUAUUAAAGGGCUGCAGUAUAUUGACUGUACAAAGGUAGCAUAAUCAUUAGUCUUUUAAUUGAAGACUUGUAUGAAAGAUUUGAUGAAAUAUAAACUGUCUCUAAUUUAUGUUUAGAAAUUAAUUUUUUAGUUAAAAAGCUAAAAUAAUAUUAAAAGACGAGAAGACCCUAUAGAGUUUUAUAUUUUAUUUAAUUAAUGUUAAAUAUAUAAUUAAAUAUAUUAAUUAAAUAAAAUAUUUUGUUGGGGUGAUAAAAAAAUUUAAUAAACUUUUUUUUAAGUUUAAACAUAAAUAAGUGGUUAAUUGAUCCAUUAAUAAUGAUUAAAAGAAAAAAUUACCUUAGGGAUAACAGCGUAAUAUUUUUUUUUAGUACAUAUAAAAAAAAAAGUUUGCGACCUCGAUGUUGGAUUAAGAUAAAAUUUAAAUGCAAAAGUUUAAAAUUUUGAUCUGUUCGAUCAUUAAAAUCUUACAUGAUCUGAGUUCAAACCGGUGUAAGCCAGGUUGGUUUCUAUCUUUAAUAAAAAAAAAUAUUUUAGUACGAAAGGAUCAAAUAUUUAAAAUAAUUUUAUUUAAAUGAAUAUUAAUAAUAAUAGUUUA
rnacentral:rRNA from 1 species